rnacentral:misc_RNA from 1 species
AAUGCAUCUUGCACUCCUUGGUACUCUGAGGAGUAUGCCUGUUUGAGUGUCAUAAUAUUAUCAACUACUUUAAUUCUAUUAAAGUGAAGUUGGAUUAAUGAAGGUAUUUUUCUAAAUGCAGGCAAAGUUAUGUUUGCUCCUUUAAAAUAUAUUUAAGGGCUUAUCUUGGGGCAUUAAUAAAUUAUUAAUGCCUAGUGAAAAAAGUCAUCAAUAUGAUAAAUUACUAUAUUGUUGAUAAAUAACUAUUACAUGCCAAGAUUUUGUCUAAGAAACAUAUUCUUGUAUAUUUAAUAUAUAAGUAAUAUUUAUAAUUUGACCUCAAAUCAGGUAGGACUACCCGCUGAACUUAA